UCCCGUGUGGCUCAGUUGGUAGAGCAUGGUGUUUGCAACGCCAGGGUUGUGGGUUCGAUCCCACAGGGAGAA
rnacentral:tRNA from 1 species